AGUGGAAUAACUGGGUCAAGUGGUGGUUCCAUUCCAAGUUUUCUGAGGAAUCUCCAUAAUGCUUUCCAGAGUGGUUGCACCAAUUGCAAUUCCACCAACAAU
rnacentral:pre_miRNA from 1 species